rnacentral:rRNA from 2 species
UACGAAGGGGGCUAGCGUUGCUCGGAAUCACUGGGCGUAAAGCGCACGUAGGCGGAUCUUUAAGUCAGGGGUGAAAUCCUGGAGCUCAACUCCAGAACUGCCUUUGAUACUGGGGAUCUCGAGUCCGGGAGAGGUGAGUGGAACUGCGAGUGUAGAGGUGAAAUUCGUAGAUAUUCGCAAGAACACCAGUGGCGAAGGCGGCUCACUGGCCCGGUACUGACGCUGAGGUGCGAAAGCGUGGGGAGCAAACAGG